rnacentral:rRNA from 1 species
CAUCUACGGAGAGUUUGAUCCUGGCUCAGGACGAACGCUGGCGGCGUGCUUAACACAUGCAAGUCGAACGGUGAACCCGCUUCGGUGGGGGAUCAGUGGCGAACGGGUGAGUAACACGUGGGCAACCUGCCCUCAGCUCUGGGAUAACUCCAAGAAAUUGGGGCUAAUACUGGAUAUG